rfam:Triticum aestivum genome assembly, contig: Triticum_aestivum_CS42_TGACv1_scaffold_592681_7BS
CAAGUAAUCCCUCCGUCCGGAAAUACUUGUCGGAGAAAUGGAUGUAUCUAGACAUAUGUUAGUUCUAGAUACAUCCAUUUUUAUCGAUUUCUUCGACAAGUAAUUCAGAACGGAGGGAGUAUUUU